UAAUGGAUCUUACUCCGAUGAAUGAGAUUGUAAAAUGAUCAAAAUAUUGGUAUUUUUGUUGCUGUGUGGUAUUUCUAUAUAUCCUGCAUCAGGGAUAUAACUCCAGCCUGCUUUUAUAUUUAUUUGCGAAGGUGAUAGUUUUCUAGGGCAGUGUCGUACUACAGAUCAUGAGGCAUUAACCAAUAUGAAGACUGAGUGCAUGGCAUUAUAGGAUGGGUUUACUACAGAUCAGAACGCACAAGAGAUGUUACUUGCUGCAACCAACUGACUUUAAGAACUCGAUGAAGCAAUCCUCCAGCGUCUUCCUCAGGCCUUUGAAAUUGGGAUACCUGAUCAAAGAGAGAGGGCUGAGAUCCUGAAGGUUGUUUUGAAAGGGUAGAAAAUCGAAAGCAAAAUUGACUUUGACUGCAUAGCAAGUUUGUGUGAGGGCUACACUAGUUCAGAUCUUCUUGAACCUUGCAAGAAAGCAGCUUAUUUUCCUAUUAGGGAGGACCUAUUGGAUGAGGAGAACAGGGGGGGGGGGGGGAUCUAGUGUAAGUAUAUAUUUAUCAUCGUGUUGUUCCAUGCUUCCAUCAGUUAUUUUAUAGUAUAUUGAACAA